rnacentral:rRNA from 1 species
CCUACGGGAGGCAGCAGUGGGGAAUAUUGCACAAUGGGCGCAAGCCUGAUGCAGCCAUGCCGCGUGUGUGAAGAAGGCCUUCGGGUUGUAAAGCACUUUCAGCGGGGAGGAAGGCGGUGAGGUUAAUAACCUCAUCGAUUGACGUUGCCCGCAGAAGAAGCACCGGCUAACUCCGUGCCAGCAGCCGCGGUAAUACGGAGGGUGCAAGCGUUAAUCGGAAUUACUGGGCGUAAAGCGCACGCAGGCGGUCUGUCAAGUCGGAUGUGAAAUCCCCGGGCUCAACCUGGGAACUGCAUUCGAAACUGGCAGGCUAGAGUCUUGUAGAGGGGGGUAGAAUUCCAGGUGUAGCGGUGAAAUGCGUAGAGAUCUGGAGGAAUACCGGUGGCGAAGGCGGCCCCCUGGACAAAGACUGACGCUCAGGUGCGAAAGCGUGGGGAGCAAACAGGAUUAGAUACCCUAGUAGUC